UACGUAGGGGGCAAGCGUUGUUCGGAAUUACUGGGCGUAAAGGGCGCGUAGGCGGCACGGCAAGUCAGGAGUGAAAGCCCGGGGCUCAACCCCGGAACGUCUUUUGAAACUGCCGAGCUAGAGUGCGGAAGAGGCAACUGGAAUUCCCAGUGUAGCGGUGAAAUGCGUAGAUAUUGGGAAGAACACCUGAGGCGAAGGCGGGUUGCUGGGCCGACACUGACGCUGAGGCGCGAAAGCCAGGGGAGCGAACGGG
rnacentral:rRNA from 1 species